GACAGAGGGUGCAAACGUUGCUCGGAAUUACUGGGCGUAAAGCGAGUGUAGGCGGUCUGAUAAGUCGGGUGUGAAAGCCCCGGGCUCAACCCGGGAAGUGCACUCGAAACUGACAGGCUAGAGUACUGGAGAGGUUGGUGGAAUUCUCGGUGUAGAGGUGAAAUUCGUAGAUAUCGAGAGGAACACCGGUGGCGAAGGCGGCCAACUGGACAGAUACUGACGCUGAGGCGCGAAAGCGUGGGGAGCAAACAGG
rnacentral:rRNA from 1 species